rnacentral:lncRNA from 1 species
AUGAGUGCCUUAUUAAAGAGAAGAGGUGCAGGGCCACUCCAGCAGCACAGGAACUCAAGAUGGCGCACGUGGUUCUCCCCCUCUUCAUUUAGUCCCCACAAUGACCCUGUGAGGCAGGUGCAUAUGAGAGGCAGUGACUGCCCCCCCCCCGUCACCCGAUGGCUAGUGGAAGCCCUUGGAACCGUCAGAAGUGUAAUGGGUGUGGUGACUGGAGAAAGGGUCUUUGCAGUGAUGGCGCUCAAGUUGCAGAAUACUCUUCACAGGAACACCAGCUUGGCAUCAAGUUUGUUUUGCUGUUUUUUAGCUGUCAGGAAACUGCUGGAUGGAGAUGACUGUUCCUGCAGCCUCACGGAUGCUCCACCUCCAUCACAGCCGCUGCAGCGAUUGUCAGCAUCCGGUGGCCGACUCCUCCUCUUCCUCCUCGCCUGUCAGAAUGUCUUUAAACAUGACAUGACAUCAUAG